rnacentral:misc_RNA from 1 species
UUUGUGUGUGCGCCUUAGAUUUGCAUGCCUGUUAUAGCAAUUUAAAGCUUAGUUGAGAUUUUGAGUGGACUACAAAGUAAUUGAUUCUUUCUUGUAUGUUAGAAGAAAAAGUAUGUAAUCUAGUUUUUUUGAUAAAUCAGAUUUUAUUAAUGAAUAAACCAAGAAAAACUUAACAAAAUAAUCUAAAUUGAACCUCGACCAACCCCAUAUAAACCAACCAUGGCUUGUAUGUUAAGUGCAAAACUGUUACAAAACCAAAUAAGUUACAUUUGAUUUACUUAAAAGACCACAAUACCAUAAAAAACAUAGCAGCAGAGUGCCAUUGGAUCUCCUGCAGACCUAUGUGAACAGUAACAUACUUGUACCAUGGAGCUGCCAACUUUCUGCACAAUCAGAACCGGAAUGGAGAAAACCAACAAGAGGCAGCAUAUAUGUGUAACAGAGCAAAAAACAGAGUUAAAGGCAUGCCACCAUUUCCAAAUUUCUAGAAACACCUUGCUUAGCUAGACCAUUAGCAAUCAAAAUACUCUCGCGGAUAACAUUUUGGAAGCAUAAGAUGGAAAUCAUUGAUCUAAGAUUGUCAAUCUCAUUAAAAACCAAGUAUCUUGUCUAUCUAAUCUAGUUCCUUGGCCUUAUACUCCAAAAUUCUAGAAAGUUUGCACUGAUGUGAUUUCGGUACUUCCAUCUUUCAUUUUCUUUUUCUACAAUGAUCGCAGUUCAAUUUUAAUGCAGGUAAAUAAUGCA